rnacentral:rRNA from 1 species
ACGGGGUGCAGCAGGCGCGAAAACUUUACAAUGCGGGAAACCGCGAUAAGGGGAUACCGAGUGCCAGCAUAUUAUGUUGGCUGUCCACAUGUGUAAACGGCAUGUGUUAGCAAGGGCCGGGCAAGACCGGUGCCAGCCGCCGCGGUAACACCGGCGGCCCGAGUGGUAAUCAUUUUUAUUGGGUCUAAAGGGUCCGUAGCCGGUUUGAUCAGUUCUUCGGGAAAUCUGACAGCUCAACUGUUAGGCUUCCGGGGAAUACUGUCAGACUUGGGACCGGGAGAGGUAAGAGGUACUACAGGGGUAGGAGUGAAAUCUUGUAAUCCCUGUGGGACCACCAGUGGCGAAGGCGUCUUACCAGAACGGGUCCGACGGUGAGGGACGAAAGCUGGGGGCACGAACCGGAUUAGAUACCCGGGUAGUCCCAGCCGUAAACGAUGUUCGCUAGGUGUCAGGGACGGUGCGACCGUUUCUGGUGCCGUAGGGAAGCCGUGAAGCGAACCACCUGGGAAGUACGGCCGCAAGGCUGAAACUUAAAGGAAUUGGCGGGGGAGCAC